rnacentral:rRNA from 1 species
GAAUCAACGCUGGCGGCGUGCCUCAGACAUGCAAGUCGAACGAUUAAAGCUCCCUUCGGGGAGUGCAUAGAGUGGCGCACGGGUGAGUAACACGUAAGUAAUCUACCUUUGAGUGGGGAAUAACGUUCGGAAACGGUUGCUAAUACCGCAUAAUGCAGCGGCACCUAAUGGUGACAGUUGUUAAAGCGGGGGAUCGAAAGACCUCGCGUCUGAAGAGGAGCCUGCGGCGGAUAGCUAGUUGGUAAGGUAAUGGCUUACCAAGGCGACGAUCCGUAACCGGCCUGAGAGGGCGGUCGGUCACACUGACACUGACGUACGGGUCAGACUCCUACGGGAGGCAGCAGUCGGGAAUUUUGGGCAAUGGGCGAAAGCCUGACCCCAGCAACGCCGCGUGAAGGAUGAAAUCCC